rnacentral:rRNA from 1 species
UCGAGGAUCUUCGGCAAUGGGCGCAAGCCUGACCGAGCGACGCCGCGUGUGCGAUGAAGGCCUUCGGGUUGUAAAGCACUGUCGAGGGGAAGGAAAGCCGCAAGGUUUGACCGACCCCUGGAGGAAGCACGGGCUAAGUUCGUGCCAGCAGCCGCGGUAAGACGAACCGUGCGAACGUUGUUCGGAAUCACUGGGCUUAAAGGGCGCGUAGGCGGGCCAUCAAGUCAGGGGUGAAAUCCUCCAGCUCAACUGGAGAACAGCUUUUGAUACUGGUGGCCUCGAGUGGGGUAGGGGCAUGUGGAACUUCCGGUGGAGCGGUGAAAUGCGUAGAUAUCGGAAGGAACGCCGGUGGCGAAAGCGACGUGCUGGACCCUUUCUGACGCUGAGGCGCGAAAGCCAGGGGAGCAAACGGGAUUAGAUACCCGGGUAGUCC